rnacentral:rRNA from 1 species
CACGUAGGGCGCAAGCGUUGUCCGGAAUUAUUGGGCGUAAAGAGCUCGUAGGUGGUUUGUUACGUCUGCUGUGAAAACCUAGGGCUUAACCCUGGGCUUGCAGUGGAUACGGGCAGACUAGAGGUAGGUAGGGGAGAAUGGAAUUCCUGGUGUAGCGGUGAAAUGCGCAGAUAUCAGGAGGAACACCAGUGGCGAAGGCGGCUUUCUGGCCUGUUCUUGACGCUGAGGCGCGAAAGCUAGGGGAGCGAACGGG